CUACACAUCCCUCCCCUCAUUCCCCUUUCCCAGCCCACGCUCCUGUCACCACGCUCAUAACCCAGUGCCGGUCAGGGAGUUGUGGGUGUCAGCACGGGUAACAUCUUGCUCUACUGGUCAUAACUUCAUUACAGCGAGUGCGUAACCUCUCGUGCGUCGUAGUGGACAUAUUAAGGAACGGAAAGGAGGAACAAGCAGCUGGGAACUUGUUGGCUCUUAAGUAGUGGUUGGUGAUUAGAUAGAUUUUUUACUUUUUUUUUUCCUUCUGUCUUACCUGUCUUGUUUUGUUUGUUAGAAAUGAGGGUUGUGGUGGUGAUGGUGGUAAUUGCGGUGGUGGUGGAGGUGAAGGCAAUGGAGGUGAUGAAGCAAGAACCAUCCAGUCUUUCCUCUUCUUCUUCAGAUGCUGGUGGAUUAAGAUGGAUGAGGACAUGGAGGGUUGAGACGGAUGAAGGAGGAGAAAAGGAUGAAGGAGAAGUACUGGCAAGGAAGAAGAGGCAAACUGAGGGUGAUUACUAUGACUACUAUGAAGGAAACACCGACUACUAUGGUGAAACUGAAGGAGAAGACGUAGAAGGAGAAGGA